GACAGAGGGUGCAAACGUUGUUCGGAAUUACUGGGCGUAAAGCGAGUGUAGGCGGUCUCGUAAGUCGGGUGUGAAAGCCCUCAGCUCAACUGAGGAAGUGCGCCCGAAACUGCAGAGCUUGAGUGCCGGAGAGGGUGGCGGAAUUCCCCAAGUAGAGGUGAAAUUCGUAGAUAUGGGGAGGAACACCGGUGGCGAAGGCGGCCACCUGGACGGUAACUGACGCUGAGACGCGAAAGCGUGGGUAGCAAACAGG
rnacentral:rRNA from 1 species